AUAAAAAGAAGAAAAAGUUAACUCAGGAUUAUUUAAUGGUACUUUAACAUCAGUGUUGUAUUUUCCUGUUAAAAAUAUCAGCUAUAAAAAUAGGAAGAACCUUGUCGUUUAGAAAUCAAUAUACAAAGUGCAGUUGGUUCAGGUUUGCAUUACUGAUGAAAACCUGCUUACUCAAAUCAGCUACUUUCAGUAGGAACCACUGUGGAUCAGAUCCUUGCGUCAGUCCACAUUCAUUUUAGGUGCAGCAUAGACCGCAGUACAUAUCUUCUGUUUCAACAUCACUCUAAUUUAAGCAGCCCCUAAAGUUGGAGCUAUUCUCAUCAAGCAUCUGGAGCACCCCAAUUUUCUUUUGGCGAACCACUCCUGCCCCCACACUUGACCCCAGUGGUUUGUGAGGAGCCACCCUCAUACCCCAGAUUCAUGGACGAGUAUAUGACCUAGGCCUACACAAUGAGUGAUGUGUCCUCUUAUCACAGUGCCUUAGAGGAUCGACGGGUCCAGUGGGCCAGCCGGGGUCAGUCCCAGGAGCUUUUGCCUGUGCUAUCAGUAAAGCGGAGCUCUCCACUGUGGGGGUGCUCCAGUGGAGUAAGUCAGCCUGAACUCAAGUGGCCAGCUUUGCACACACAGGAGCCCUGACUGAGAAUAAUGCCAGAACGAGAGAUGGAGAGACUCAGGUGCCUGUGACAUCGUUGGCUCACAGGAGUCCAGUGGUAUCUGAAGCUGUCUCUGGAAUUCUCCAUCCAAGCCAGUUUGAAUGGAGACUCUGGCAUGGCAAACUCAGAGACCAGAAUAAAGUUCACUGUUGAACAGCUCCACUAAAAAUGAUCUUCCUGGAAAAAAUAAAUGGCUUGGUAGUUGUAUUUUGAUUAUUCUAUGUUGAAUGUAUCAAUUGUCAGAUAUAUGAGUGUUUGAGUGGGAUAGUUCAAAUGAAGCUAUUUUGGUGUAUUGUACAAGCAAUAUUUGGAGUUUUUAAGUUAAUGCAAGUUUUAUAAGAUUCAAGCCACAACUGGGUGAGGUAAACACGAGGAAAGGUGCUUCCCACGUAGUGUCUAAAUUGUGGGGAAAACAUCUUCAGUUCUUUAGUAUACAACAAGUUAAGGCAAUUAACUAACCCUAUCAACUCCUUAGAUCAAACUACAAAAAUGAAGGAGGCAAAGAAAGGAGGUAUAACUGACUGACUACAUGACAUUACAUCACAGUUGUUAGAAAUGCUGCCUUUCCUUACAGAGAGCGGACGUGGUACUGUCAGUUCUUAUCUCGUAGGUGUUGGCCGCUAGCAGCAGGUGAUUGCCUUGGUCUGGACUGGAAGGCCAGCGCCACAAUUAACCUAUCACUUUUGCUUGAACUCCUGGAGUGUGAGUUUGAUGUUGUUCUUAAGUCUUUGUUGAUGGACAGGUGUGAUCCUAGCCUCAGACUAGGAGACACGGAAGCCCAAAUUUUAAUUUCAGGGAUGGUACUGAGUCCCUGUGUGGCGUUGAAAAAGCCAUUAACCUCCUGGCCUCAGUUUCCCUGUCUGCAAAAUAAGGCUCGUAAUCUAAACUUAGAUGCUUCCCUGGGCUGCUAUGUGAAUUAAUUAUUGUUUAUAGCGCAAGUGGAAGUUGAGCUGUGUUAAUUAUUAUUAUCAUUUCUGGGUCUUCCAGCCAAGUUUAAGCCAAGCCCUUGCCUUGCUUUUAGUUCCUGAGAUCUGACAAGACACAGCCCAAGGCAAUGAAGAGGGCCAUAAAUCAAGGCUCAUCAGCAGAUUCUGCUUAUCUGGCCACAAGGGACUGGCCCUGGAAGGCUCUGCCAACCACAGGCCUUCAGUUCUGGGGUUCUGGGACAGCCCAGAAACUCACAAGGUUUAUUAGAACCUCAUUGUAACAGAGCAAGAGUUGUGAAGCUGCUGCCACACUCCUGUCCCCUUCCUCUUUGUGUACCUGCCAUUUAAUUUACUAAGAAGUCUGAAGAUCAAUAAGAGGAGCUCACCCUGUCAUUAGACAAGG
rnacentral:lncRNA from 1 species